UGUCUUGAAUUUCAGGAUAUUUGCGAGAAAAAGGGAGGCUACCUGGCAAGAAUAGACAAUAUUGCAGAAGACAAUUUUCUAAAACAGCAAGCAAAAUCUCUCAGUAUUGCUGGGAAAGGAAGCUAUUGGAUUUCACCAGUAUGUAAGAAACGAGUAUAUCAAUACAAAUGCUCUUGGAAACACGAAUCUAAUAAUAAGGCCGUAAUCUAUGAAGGAUGGAACAGCUUUGAACCAAACAGCAACCAGCAAUGCGCAGUACUAUAUUGUGGGUACAGUUACUCAUGGAAUGAUUUCAACUGUGACGAUAAAGCAUACUACAUCUGUGAAAAAAAAGUACCAUCCCUGGUAAAUCCGCUGCCGAUCCCUCGACCUCUUCCAAGACCUUAUCAAAAACCAGUUCUCAAACUCAG